rnacentral:tRNA from 1 species
GGGUCGUUACUCAGUCGGUAGAGCAGUUGACUUUUAAUCAAUUGGUCGCUGGUUCGAAUCCAGCACGACCCACCA